rnacentral:rRNA from 1 species
UACGUAGGGGGCGAGCGUUGUCCGGAGUUACUGGGCGUAAAGCGCACGCAGGCGGUCUGUUAAGUUUGGAGUGACAGUUGGUGGCUUAACUGCCAAAGUGCUUCGAAAACUGACAGACUUGAGGGCUUCAGAGGGACACGGAAUUCCGGGUGGAGUGGUGAAAUGCGUAGAUAUCUGGAGGAACACCGGUGGCGAAGGCGGCAUCCUGGACCGACAUUGACGCUGAGGCGCGAAAGCCAGGGGAGCAAACGGG